UAUCGUGUACUUGUGCGUGGGUGGGUUAAUUUUUUUUCUUCGCACGUUUUCGUUGUGACUUUGUCUUGGCACUGAUUGUUUGUUCUCUUUUUCCCUCGGCUCAGCUCUUUGUGUGUUUUCCUUUGCUUCUCAUUUUGGUGGAGCCUCGAUCAUCAUUGCAUCUCUUACAGUUUAUCAGUUGUUCUCUGUUUAUCUGCUUUUUGGGUUGUCUGCUAACGUCUUUCGAUUGUAUUUGUUCUAGGCACGAUGGCGUGUAUAUGGGAUCCUGUUCGUGGUCUUCGUUCGUCUUUGUUUAUUGUUUGUUUGGCAUUCAUUCUUCCUGUUAUUGCAAUUGCUUUUGCUGGUGUUGUUAUUCAGCAAUUGCCUUCGCUGGUGCUAUUAUUCAAGUU